rnacentral:rRNA from 1 species
GACGAACGCUGGCGGCGUGCUUAACACAUGCAAGUCGAACGAAGAGCGAUGGAAGCUUGCUUCUAUCACUCUUAGUGGCGAACGGGUGAGUAACGCGUAAUCAGCCUGCCCUUCAGAGGGGGACAACAGUUGGAAACGACUGCUAAUACCGCAUACGAUCUAAUCUCGGCAUCGAGGAUAGAUGAAAGGUGGCCUCUACAUGUAAGCUAUCACUGAAGGAGGGGAUUGCGUCUGAUUAGCUAGUUGGAGGGGUAACGGCCCACCAAGGCGAUGAUCAGUAGCCGGUCUGAGAGGAUGAACGGCCACAUUGGGACUGAGACACGGCCCAGACUCCUACGGGAGGCAGCAGUGGGGAAUCUUCCGCAAUGGACGAAAGUCUGACGGAGCAACGCCGCGUGAGUGAUGACGGCCUUCGGGUUGUAAAGCUCUGUUAAUCGGGACGAAAGGCCUUCUUGCGAACAGUUAGAAGGAUUGACGGUACCGGAAGAGAAAGCCACGGCUAACUACGUG